rnacentral:rRNA from 1 species
UACGUAGGGGGCAAGCGUUGUCCGGAAUCAUUGGGCGUAAAGAGCGCGUAGGCGGUCCGGUAAGUCCGCUGUGAAAGUCAAGGGCUCAACCCUUGAAUGCCGGUGGAUACUGCCGGGCUAGAGUCCGGAAGAGGCGAGUGGAAUUCCUGGUGUAGCGGUGAAAUGCGCAGAUAUCAGGAGGAACACCGGUGGCGAAGGCGGGUCUCUGGACAGUUCCUGACACUGAGGCACGAAGGCCAGGGGAGCAAACGGG